GACGGAGGGUCCUAGCGUUGUUCGGAAUUACUGGGCGUAAAGGGCGCGUAGGCGGCUUUUUGCGUCGGAUGUGAAAGCCCGGGGCUCAACCCCGGAACGGCAUCCGAUACGGGAAGGCUUGAGACCGGGAGAGGAGGGUGGAAUAGCCAGUGUAGAGGUGAAAUUCGUAGAUAUUGGCUGGAACACCGGUGGCGAAAGCGGCUCUCUGGUCCGGAUCUGACGCUGAGGCGCGAAAGCGUGGGGAGCAAACAGGAUUAGAAACCCCAGUAGUCC
rnacentral:rRNA from 1 species